UGAACUGGUGACACGAGGAUUUUCAGUCCUCUGCUCUACCAGCUGAG
rnacentral:tRNA from 1 species